GGCGUGUCUAACAACUUGGGGUCUCCAAGGUAAUCCAGGCUUCACCUUCACAGCUUCAUUAAUGGACUCUCCAAGCUUUCAUCACAUCUCUGACACAAGCCUGGCCUCUGCAACUCUUUCCAGCCGUGGAGCCCAGGAUUGGAGCCCAAGGAAUGGUGCCACCCACAUGGGGUUUCCCACCCUGAUAAACCUGAUCGAGAUAAUUCCCUCCAGUGUGGCCCAGUGGAUAAAUCUACAUCAGAGCUCAAGCACCCAAGGCACGGGGGACACCUGGGUAAGAGCCAGAGUACCGGGAAGUCUGCUGUGAAACAGUCUCUGCAAGAAAAGGCUGCACACACAAGACUGCAACAACACAGGAUCAAUGGAUGGACUAACACGGAAGGGGGGCAUUUACAAGGUCCCACCUCUAGACAAAGGAUGACAGGUAACUAAUGACUACUAGGAGAAGAAUUAGUCUUUCCCAGGCGUGAACCUCCUUAUUGGUUGUCCAAUCCAGAGUGAUUAGCCUGGAAACCAUUUACACCACACAACAAAAAUGGACUCAGCAGAUUGUAUUUAUAUAUAUUUGUGACACAUAUGCAUGUGUACAUAGCAAACAGAAUCAAAGAAAAAAAGGUUAUUGACUUUUGAGGGGAACAUGCAAGGGGUUUGAGAGAGGGCAGUUUGUAAAGGCUGGAGGGAGGGAAGGGUGGGACAAGUGAUAUAAUUCCAUUUUAAUUAAAAAUACUUCUUCAAAAAAGGAACAACAACAAGAAGGUAACCUUUCACGGCGUGCCAAGGGCUCUGAACCUCACUCAUCAAGUUGACAGCUGAUCAUUUAUCAUAGCUGGUGGGACUGGAAAAUAGAAGUUUAUAUGUAGGGAUUUGUGGACGGUUCCUCUCGUCAGAGCAGCCAGAGCUGCUGAAGUGGUGGCUUGUACCCACUGCCUUAGGGGACAGAUUACAGGAAGCACUAGGGGCCAGGGAGCCGCCGUAGUGGGUACAGCAAAGCUUGGCAAAUUUGAGGGUCUUUAAGGUGAAAAAUUGUCUUCUGACUUAUAUAUGUAUGCUGUGGCCCAUGUUCUCUCUCUCUUCUCCCCUCCUUCUCCCCCUCUCCCACAAACACACACACACACACACACAAACACACACAUAAAGAAAUGUAAUAAAACAUCUUUUAAAAAAACACAUGAACGUUUUAGAAAGAGGAACAGGAAAAGGAAAUCACCAAGAUCACCAAGAGAAACUCCCAGUCCGAGGAAGAUUAAGUACACGCUCAGUUUAUCUGGUGAAUCAGUACUUCCGGUCCAAGGAAGGAUAAGUACACUCUUAGUACGUCUGGUGAAUCGGUAAGUAGGCGUCUUACGUCAAAGCUGCCAUUUUCCAUUUUGUUGAACAAAUGAAGGGAAUGACUCUGACAUGUUAUCAAUAUCAGUCUCACCACGGACAGCAUGCCAGAUGCUGCUCUGAAAGGCUGGCAGAGGGCACCACCUCCAGGAAGAUACUGCUGUCAAAUCACAGGCUUUAAAGACAGAGGCUCUUCGAACCAACAGAGGGGGCCCCAUUGUUUGGCUCAAAAUACGACAGGUCAGAAUACUGAACUUUCUUCUGCUGACAGUAUGCACAGACAGGUUGUCAAACAGGCUUUUAUGCCUUCUUUAAAGGAAUAUUCAUUAAAGAACAUUUUUGCCUUUGCCACUAACAUAACUUGGAUUUUGAAACUUGGCUCUAGGAUGCCCAGAUUCCAUUUGAAAACCAACCAUCGGGCACUGUUUAAAGAGACAUCCCCUCAAGUUACACAUAUUUGAAUUGACUGGAUGCCCAGCGAAGGGUAGUGUCAGUACCAGCGCUUACACAAUCACUGAAAUCAGAGCUGCCUCACAGGCUCAAGCACACGGGAAGAGGCGCUCAGUUCAUUUUUUUUCAGGAAGAAGGCUCCUCACCUAGGCCUAGCAGCAAUAGGAUAACCUGAACCUUACACUUCUGUGUAAACGCCAGGAUUUGCAGGUGUGUGCCCUCAUGCCUAGCUAAUGACUUCAUUAGAUGACAAAGCAUUACUGGCCACACUGUAAGCAGGGCUGUGUACCUACUGCACUUCUGCUCAGUCUACUGCUGUUGAGAGCUGCCACUCGGAUCAGCCUACCCAAAGAUGAACUGGGGCUCACUGGGCCCCUUUAGUCCCUGUCCCAAUGCACAUGGAGAAACAUCACCUUUCUCUUCUUUCCCUAAUUAUCUUUUCAGUGGGGUACUGACACCAGCUGUCAGCCCUGUCUUUUGAGGCUGCCGCAGCAGGGCUUUGCAUUAACACUACAAUGGCAGCGCCACACCGGAAGGCUCAAGGCCCAAGAAUUCCACUGCCCCUCUUAAGCAGUUACACCUGCCAGGGAUUGAAGCACGCUGGUGUUUACAGAAAAUUCAAGUAGGGAGUAAGUUUACUUUAUUACUUUCCUCUUAGGAGAGUUCUUUAUCAUAACCCUAAUUACAAAGUCCUCCCCACCCCUUUAUAGAGGUUGACCUGAGAACUAAUGAUUUAUGCCCAUUUGGUGACAUCAAGAGUGAUUUCCAUUGCCCUGGCAUCUUGCUUUCCUAGGGAGGAAAUGCUGCCCUUGGUGAUCCAUCCUGUCCUCUAGCAAGUUACCCUGCAUAAAGUUCAGGAUGUGAAGCAGAGGUUCACUUCAUUCACUGUGGCUGAGACCUCUGCUCCCAAAAAACUGACUUCAACACACGAGGGAUUGGAGGGGACAGAGCAAAGCUGGAUAACCGCAUUUCCAAUGGUUCAAUAUUACGUAUGAAAGGCCAGGGAUGGAUAUACAUAAGUGACUGGAGCCUCAGGGAUCACUUGCUGCCCAAUUAGUGUAAAAGUAGCAAGGGAUAGGAGCCAGAAGAUCCAGCUGUCUUGGCCCAAGCAGACAGGUAAGGGGAGACAUGCUAGUGGCAUUUAGUGAGGUCCUCACAACUGAGUAAUAUCAUAGGAGUACUGCAACCAGUAACUUUCACACAUCCUACUUCGUUGAACAACAGGACUCAAGUUACAACUUCUGGCUCCAGGAUAAGGUUUGGGAGAUGCGCUAGAUCAUCAUCAUCCAUCCAUCCAUCCAUCCAUCCAUCCAUCCAUCCAUCCAUCCAUCCAUCCAUCCAAUCAUUUAUCUAUCAAUCACCUAUCACCAAUUGCUGUGGAAUAAUCAUGUACACAGAAAAUGUGUUGCUCUCAUUGUUAAUAAAAAGCUGACUGGCCGAUAGCUAAGCAGGAUUUUCCGGGUAAGAAUGUUGGGAAGGAUGGAGUCAUUGGACUUGCUGAUGCAGAGGGAGCAAGACAUGCUAGAGAACAGGUAAAAGUCAUGAGUCAUUUGGCAACAUGGAGAUUGACAGUUAUGGGCUAAUUUAAAUUGCAAGAGCUAGUUACAAACAAGCCUAAGUUCUCAGCUGAGCUUUCAUAAUUAAUGUCUUUGUGUAAUUUGGGAGCUGGCUGGCCCAACAAAAAAAGUCUGUCUACAACCAAUCAUCUAUCAGUCAUGACAAUGUUACAUUAUUUAGUCUAGGCUGGCCAUGAAGUCCUGGCAAUCCUAUUUCAUGUCAGGAGCCAUUUCCCCCCUAACAAUCAUUACAGAAACCAUCACUCUAGGGAGUCUGCAGAGAACCUCACACCCAUAAUUAUGUUCUAUUGACAGAAUCUGCCCCUCACCCAAUUAACUGUUAAUCUAUUAGCAGAAUACGCCUCACAUUCCAGCUACCCAGGGAACCAGGUGUGGCAACUUGUGACUUCUGGCCUGUCUGUCCGAGUGUAGCCUGGCCUACGUGACCGGAACCAUGCGGCGAGAUCCCUUGCCCUGCCCCCCAUUCCUUACCAUAUAUAAGCAGCAACCAUGACCCUAAUAAACGGAGGCUUUGACAAAUCUGCUUGGCCUCCUUCUUCUGUCUUAGCUCAUUCCCUUCCAGGUAGCGCCCCUCCGAGACCCUGGAGUAACUGGAUUGCGGGGUGGGUUACAACCCCUAGACUGAGUAGCCCACCCCAACGCAAUCCACAAUUUCAGCCUCCCAAGUGGUGAGAUAGAUACGUAACAGACUCAAGAUGUCCAUUUACCAGUGACAAUAAACUACAAUUAAUAUUUAAUAUGGGACUUAGUAAAUACUUAGCAAGUUAGGGGUGCACUGACCCAUUAUUAUUAUUUUUUUUUUGCUUAUAACAGAAUUUAUGAUGAAAAUACUAUGGAUGAACAUUCACUUCAUCCAGGUCACAAGUAUUCAAGGGUAAUAAAUUCCUUUUCCAGAAUAAAAUAUUUUGAAUUCUGGAAUUAAAGGCAGCAGCCGCAAUGGAUUUCCCUCAAAAGCUCAGCUACACACACUGAGAAAAAACCUACAGUGAGCUUGUUAUAGCGAGUAGCAGUGACAGUUCUGACUCUCGUGGCUUACAACAAAGAGAAAUGAAAGGACUGUCUUCCAACACCCAUCCCCUCACCCUACAAUAAACCUAUUUCUUGAAGAGGAAACAAAAUCAUAUUUUGAGGGAAACGCCCCAAAUUAAUGCUGAUAGCAUUUUUUUUUUUUUUUUUUUUUUGUCCUCCAAAGAUACUGUGAUGUCACUGGGAUCAACUAGGAGACACCUGUGGGCAGGCUUGUGAGGGAGUCUCCUCAAGGUUUGACUGAAGCAGGAAAACCUUCCAAGAAUGAUACAAUCAGCCGGGCCACAUGGUGGCCAGGAACCAAGUCUGGAUCCUCUGCAAGAGCUCCAAACCCCUGGGCCCUCUCUCCAGCCACUCAAUAUUCUUUUAUACACAUUAGUAGUUUCCAAAUGUGUUUUGCUAAUCUAGUUGUUAUAUGACUGUAUUUAAGCAAUUUAGAAAUUAAAAUGUCAAGGCCAUUUGACAGACAAACUUGCACUUAGGCCCAAUUUUUUAAAGAACGUAGAUUAUUUUAUGUUAUUUAAGUUUCAAAAUUUCAAAGAUAAACUUGACCACCAGUGAAUAGAAAAGUACCCUUUUAUUGAGGUAAGACAAGUGUAUUUACAAUACGCCAUUGUUAGAGUAUAUAAUUUGACCAUGAGACUUCUAAAGCAGCUGAAUUCCAGAGAACUGUAAGGGAGAACAUUGCAGGCAUGUUUCUGUUACAGAAGGUACAUUUGAACAUGACAGAAACACUUAAGGCUGAGUACUGGAACUUUUCCUCCAUCUGGGGGAAUAAUCAAAGGGUUCUUUUUUUUUUUUUGUCACAAAGACAGAGGCUGAUUUUAGAAGGGGUGGGUGAGGGAACCCUCAACAAGAGGGCUUACAGAAGUCAAAAGGCUGGUUUUUUUUUUCUUUAAAAAAAAAAAAAACAGAGCCUCUUCAAGGUUCUGACUAAGUGCAGUGUUGGCAAGCAUUCCAGUUCCACUGCAGACUGACCUGAAACUGAAAGCCAUCCCAGCCCUCUGCCUUACUAAAGUCUAUGAGCUUCUCCCAUCUUCUCAGGUUCAGUGUUUUCUGAAACCAGAACGCUGAAAGGGGAUGUUUGCUGUAGUGCAAAAACCACUUUGAUAGGGUCAUGUCUACGUGGAUUUAAAUGGCAGACUCCUGUUCUAACAGUGACACCUAGCCACUGUCUACAGGGCACCUCACACAAGUUAGUUCUCAAAGCAUAGCAUUGAAUUCCAGGAAGGUGACUUUUUGAUGAACGUCAGACAACGCCAGGUCUUUUAUUAUAUCCCAUGAGCUAUUGAGGUAGGAUUCUCUACUUAUCGAGUUUUCACAGGUUACACCAUAAGGUCAGAUGCCAAGUACCAAACACGACAGUAAUCCACAAUGAACCAUCUCACUACAAACCAGUCCUUCCUUCUGCAGACCGGCAAGGCUGGGGAUUCUCCUGGCACCAAGAAAUUUAAAAACAACAAACAUUGUAAUUGUAUUGUCUUGUAGAAAUGGUUUGUAAAUAAAUACAAUUUCAAUUAUGAUUUUCUGCAUCAAAAAGCUUUGAGACUGCUAAAAAUAAAUAGUGCAAUCAUUAGUGGUAAGAUAAGUAGUAGUACGUCUGAGGAAGUGCUCCCAUGUCCAACAGGAAAACUACCGCCCUGGGGAAGGAAGGAAACCAUGGUUGCUCCUCUUGGCAGACUAGCAACAGAAGGGAAUGAAUGACAAGAUUGCCCCAAGUCAGCAUCACGCAUCUGAGGAACCAUGGCGAGUUUAGUUAGGAUGUAAUAGUUUUUGCAUGUCACUGGGGGCAUCUUCUCUCCUAACUCAAGAUGGAGAACGGUGCAGGAAGCAGAUGAGGUGCAUGCUCAUUUUCGACUGUUACAAUAAGAGGGAAAUCACGAUGAAAUAAACAGCACUCUUCACAGUCACAGAAUCAAGCCCUUGACAUGCUACAGACUUUCAAUGUCACCACAAAGUAUGAAACCAAGGUGGGAAACUCUGGCCAAAUGUCCUAAAAACACAGUAGGAAGUACUACAGCAUGACAUGGGAACAUCUGGUUGCGUCACUUAAGAUCUCAAAAUCUGACUCCAACACCCUCGAUAGAGACUACUCCACAGUUAGAACGCUGUGCUUGGCGUCUGUGUGCAGCAGAUUGUACGAACACACCCAGGCCACACUCAAGAGAUCUCUGCAUCCAGAGUGUUGUAGAGUCAAGAAAGCACUUGGUCAGCUAUGACUGAGAAGUAACAGCUCAGAAUGACCUCUGCGUAUCCCAAAAAGGAUAUCUUUUAGUUUUGGAUUUUUAUCUGGCUCCAAAAUAUAAAGAUUCAAAAGGAUCACAAAAGUUUUAUUUUCAUGUUUACAAAAAAAGUGAUUCACACAUGAAACUGGGCUUUCCCUGGGCUGAUACACAGAGACGACAUAAUCUAAUCCAAUUCAGGCAUCAUUAUUGGUGACCCAGCACACCUAGAAUUAGCUGGGCCAUCAAAAUAGACAUUAUAAAAAAAAAAAAAAAUCAAAUGCCUGUGUUCCUGAAUCUUCUAAAAAAAAAAAAAAGAAAA